rnacentral:rRNA from 1 species
UACAGAGGGGGCAAGCGUUGUUCGGAAUUCCUGGGCGUAAAGGGCGCGUAGGCGGCCUGCUAAGUCGAACGUGAAAUCCCUGGGCUCAACCCAGGAACUGCGUCCGAUACUGGUUGGCUUGAAUCCGGGAGAGGGACGUGGAAUUCCAGGUGUAGCGGUGAAAUGCGUAGAUAUCUGGAGGAACACCGGUGGCGAAGGCGACGUCCUGGACCGGCAUUGACGCUGAGGCGCGAAAGCCAGGGGAGCAAACGGG